AAAAAAUAUUAUGAUGAGGGACUAUAGAAAAACAAAACCACCAUUAAUAAUAAAAAAAUGUAAAAAAGAUGUAAAAAAAGGAAAACCCUAAUCCCUAACUUCCAAAUUUAUGUUUCUUUCUUCAGCAAUUCGAUGGUCUUGCAGCGCACAAAUUUGAGUGCAUUAAGAUUGCAUGGAGAUCCAAAAGGAUCGACAAAUUCUUAUACUCGCUACUAUGAAUUAUCCACAAAGGAAGAAGAAAAAGAAGAAAUCUAAGUCCCAAAUCAUGAUUCAUAUUUAGUCGGUGAUUCACCAGAAUACCCUCUUUGACAUGGUGCUUGGAGGUGGAGGGAGAGAUAGUUGGAGUAGGCCAUGAUGCCGUGCAGUUAUCCGCGAGGUUCCGAUCUUCCAGAUAUUUGUACGGUCCAUGGAACCCCACCAGAUUCAAUGAUGUAUACCAACACCAGUUCAAGCACCUGCAACAAUGCGGCAGAAGAAGUUGGCAUUCCAUCUUCUUCCUUCGAGAAUCUUGUGGAUGGAACACGUUGAUUCUUGCCUAUAAUUGUUGCAAAUUGAGAAGUAAUAAGAUCUGGAUAUGAUCGAGAUGAUAAGCGCAGUUUGAUGGGCAUCACAACUGUUGAUCUUGCCACAACAUCAGCAGCAGAUGUGUAAAACUGCCGUCUUCUUUUAGAUCUUGUGAGAGCAAACUUUUGUUUCGUUCGAUCUUAGGUUAGGGAAGACAGUUAGAUCAGUCCAAGAUAUAGAACAUUGUUUUAUGUUAUUUGAGAAUCGUAUAGACAGUAACACAAAAUGUAUUCUUGAACAAGGGUUAUUUGGGAAUCGUAUAGACGAUACGUAGAUUGAUUCGAGUCCAAUGUUGUUGCAAACCGAGAAGAAAAAAGAUCUAGAUUUGGCUGAGAUGAUAACAGUACAAGUGUAAACAUGUUAUUUUCUUGUAAACUUGUAGAAUACAUAAGUAAAAGUCACAAAAAAUAAAUUCAUAGCACA